UGAGGAAUAUUGGUCAAUGGGCGCAAGUCUGAACCAGCCCAGUAGCGUGCAGGAUGACGGCCCUAUGGGUUGUAAACUGCUUUUAUAUGGGGAUAAAGUGGGGAACGUGUUCCCUUUUGCCGGUACCAUAAGAAUAAGGACCGGCUCAUUCCGUGCCAGCAGCCGCGGUAAUACGGAAGGUUCGGGCGUUAUCCGGAUUUAUUGGGUUGAAAGGGCGCGUAGGCCGUUUGGUCAGCGUGUUGUGAAAAGUAGGAGCUCAACUUCUAGAUUGCAGCGCGAACUGUCAGACUGGAGUGCGCACAACGUAGUCGGAAUUCAUGGUGUAGCGGUGAAAUGCUUAGAUAUCAUGAAGAAGUACGAGUGCGAAGGCAGCUUACGGGGGCGCAACGGACGCUGAAGCUCGAAGAUGCGGGUAUCGAACAGG
rnacentral:rRNA from 1 species